rnacentral:SRP_RNA from 1 species
UGCGCGACCUCCCACGCGGUGGUACCUCUCCGAACUCCCCCAGGGCAGGAAUGCAGCAAGGGUAGGAGAGCUCUUCCAGGUGCGUGGGAGGUCCUUGCGUGUCCG